rnacentral:lncRNA from 1 species
CUACUUGCACACACAAGCACACAUGCACAAGCGGCCCCACACCUGCUGGCUCACACAAGGGCCCACUAACUCACUACACAGAAUUCUCUGCUGCCUGCGGUCUUGUGUAAAUCCCCUGAUGGACAGAUAGUUAUUCAAUCAACAGACUUUCAGGGACUAGUAACAGUGGAUUGGCAGUAGUGGGUAUAGCAUCUGUACCUUCCCACAGCUCAAGAUUUAGUGGUGGGGCCACAG